rnacentral:rRNA from 1 species
UACGGAGGAUGCGAGCGUUGUCCGGAUUUAUUGGGUUUAAAGGGUGCGUAGGCGGCCUGCCAAGUCAGCGGUAAAAUUGCGGGGCUCAACCCCGUACAGCCGUUGAAACUGCCGGGCUCGAGUGGGCGAGAAGUAUGCGGAAUGCGUGGUGUAGCGGUGAAAUGCAUAGAUAUCACGCAGAACCCCGAUUGCGAAGGCAGCAUACCGGCGCCCUACUGACGCUGAGGCACGAAAGUGCGGGGAUCAAACAGG